rnacentral:rRNA from 1 species
UACGUAGGGUGCAAGCGUUGUCCGGAAUUAUUGGGCGUAAAGAGCUCGUAGGCGGCUUGUCACGUCGACUGUGAAAACCCGGGGCUCAACUCCGGGCCUGCAGUCGAUACGGGCUGGCUUGAGUGCGGUAGGGGAGACUGGAAUUCCUGGUGUAGCGGUGAAAUGCGCAGAUAUCAGGAGGAACACCGGUGGCGAAGGCGGGUCUCUGGGCCAUAACUGACGCUGAGGAGCGAAAGCGUGGGGAGCGAACAGG